rnacentral:rRNA from 1 species
CCGAAUUGGCACUUCUUGGUCAUUUAGAGGAAGUAAAAGUCGUAACAAGUUUCCGUAGGUGAACCUGCGGAAGGAUCAUUACAGAGUUCAUGCCCUUCGGGUAGACCUCCCACCCUUGAAUAAUAUACCUUUGUUGCUUUGGCGGGCGCUUCGGCUACUGGCUUCGGCUGGUGAGUGCCCGCCAGAGGACCCAAAAUCUGAAUUAUAGUGUCGUCUGAGUACUAUAUAAUAGUUAAAACUUUCAAAACGGAUCUCUUGGUUCUGGCAUCGAUGAAGAACGCAGCGAAAUGCGAUAGUAAUGUGAAUUGCAGAAUUCAGUGAAUCAUCGAAUCUUUGAACGCACUUGCGCCCCUUGGUAUUCCGGGGGGCAUGCCUGUUCGAGCGUCAUUAUACCCCUCAAGCCCAGCUUGGUGUUGGGGCCUGCCGUCUGGCAGCCCUUAAAUCAGUGGCGGUGCCAUCUGGCUCUAAGCGUAGUAAUUUUUCUCGCUACGAGUUCUGGUGGAUGCUUGCCAUCAACCCCCAAUUUUCUAUGGUUGACCCGGAUCAGGUAGGGAUACCCGCUGAACUUAAGCAUAUCAAUAAGCGGAGA